rnacentral:rRNA from 1 species
UACGGGGGGGGCAAGCGUUGUUCGGAAUUACUGGGCGUAAAGGGCUUGUAGGUGGCCAACUAAGUCAGACGUGAAAUCCCUCGGCUUAACCGGGGAACUGCGUCUGAUACUGGAUGGCUCGAGUGUGGGAGAGGGAUGCGGAAUUCCAGGUGUAGCGGUGAAAUGCGUAGAUAUCUGGAGGAACACCGGUGGCGAAGGCGGCGUUCUGGACUGCAACUGACACUGAGAGACGAAAGCCAGGGGAGCAAACGGG